AAGGAAGAUAAAAAGAGAUCUGGAGUUCCCAGAGGUACGCAUGUCCUUUUAAGGGGAACGAUCCCCACAUGCGGCCAGCGCUGUAAUAAACAUACCAGCUUUACAACUUUCACAAAAGUUGUGGAGUUUGUUUCCUUUUCGGCAAUUCAGGGAGGACUCCUUUCCCAAAGAAAACCUCAGGACGGUCGAAGCUGCUGCUUAGGAAAAAGAAUUCGAUGCCACCGCCAUAACCCUGCCCGAAGCCUCUGCUCAUGAGAGGAACAACUGAACUGGGACCUUAUUAUCACCUACCUCACUAAAAGAGGGACCCAUCACCAUCUGCUCGGGUGCCCGGGAAUCCCGAGCUCGCCUCUCCCUGCCCUGCUGGGAGCCGGGCCGCCGCUGCCCCGCCCCCACCGGUUCUUCGGCACUGCUCUGGGUUUCUCCACGCUGUAGCCCCAUACCCCCUCCCCUGCCGGGACGUCCCGCAGUUCCAGCUAUCGCCGCGGAGCUUCUGAUACAUCUCGUCCACCACCCCGGGAUUUUUGCUCAUUCCUGCCGUUCCAGCUUGGUGCUCCUCAGAGUCCUGCUGGGCCAUCGGGAGUCACCAGUGCCCCUGCCGUCUGUGACCGUAACUGCACCAAAGGGGAAAAUGGCUGUGGCCGAGAAGGCUGUUACUGGGUUUGUGGUUCUGGUUGUUGUUAAUGCCAUAGUUGUUGUAGUUGAUUUGCCUUGUUAUACAUACUAGUAAAGAACUGUUAUUCCUAUUCCCA